rnacentral:lncRNA from 1 species
AUCAAUUCAGUGGCGGAGUAAAUUAAACGUUAUUCUCCGAUCAAACAGGAGCUUCGGGUCCACCUGUUUGGAAGCACCCAGGCGGCUUGGAGAGGUCCGGCCUUCGGGUGCGACCCGCAGGGGUUGCCUUGCCCGGCUCGCGGAACGGACGUUUACCUGUCGCAGCUACGAACCCACCAACGACACCAAGCACUCGCCGGGCAGACCAGGCGUCGUGGAGGCGCCCCAGCCCCCCCACCCCCCCGCAACGACGCGUCCCAGAGGCACCGGAUCCUCCUUCAGCACUCCCAGCACUCACUGAAGAAGACACUAUGGAAUUCUCCGUUUUCCAGACUAGAAAUAAGGAACUCGGAGAAAUUAAGAAACUCGCCCGACGACCCUCAGGCAGUAGCACCUGGCCAGGUUUGCUUUCUGAACCACUAACUCCACUCGCGCGCGCCACCUUUCCUGCCUGGGCCUCUUGCGGGUCACAGGGGUGGAAGCCUGACCUGGGCCAGGGCCCGGAUUUCUUCCUCCUGGCCUCUGUGCCACCGCCCCCGGUGCCAGGAAGCGCUUUUCUCUCCCCGAGACCCAGACGCGCCGAAAGACUCGCGCGGUCAGUUCCCCGCCCCACGCCCUGGGCUGUGCGUGUUCUUGUCGCGCGGUCCGUUCCCCGCCCCACGCCCUGAGCUGUGCGUUUUCUUGUCGCGCGGUCAGUUCCCCGCCCCACGCCCUGGGCUGUGCGUUUCUUGCCAGCCUCUGCCGAGUGCGGGCAACGGCGCCGCCAGACUCCCCCAGACCGCGCUCCGGCCCACGCCUGACCAGAGCACCUGCUUCACAGGGGGGCGUUCCGCGCGUCCUUCCUCCCUGGUGUGAUUUUCGUUCUUUUUCCUCUCGUGGUCCCCAAGAACCCAGGCACCCCUCGACGUCGGUGCCGGCGGUACCGGGAAUCCCUCCCCCGGACUCCCUGCGGGCCCGAAGCCACCUUCUAAUCCCAGCCGCCUUCUCCGGGCGGCGGAGGUGGGCAGCUCCGGGCUCCGCGCCGCCCCGCGAAGCCGGAAUCUCUCUUCGGAGUCUCGCUGCAGCUCUCCACUUCGUCGCCCCGCACUGGAUCCUGGCUGCCUAGAUCACACGGCCCCGUUUCAUUCAUUUUUACUUAAUAACGGUCGUUAGACAAUUGAGAGAAACAGCAGAAACCACGAGAAAAAUAAUGGAAUCCAACGGCGG